AGAGUUUGAUCAUGGCUCAGAAUCAACGCUGGCGGCGUGCCUAACACAUGCAAGUCGCACGAGAAAGGGGAGCAAUCCCUGAGUAAAGUGGCGCACGGGUGAGUAACACGUGAAUUAUCUACCUCCGAGUGGGGAAUAACUGAGAGAAAUCUUAGCUAAUACCGCAUAACACUUACGAGUCAAAGCAGCAAUGCGCUUGGAGAGGAGUUCGCGGCCGAUUAGUUAGUUGGCGGGGUAAUGGCCCACCAAGACGAUGAUCGGUAUCCGGCCUGAGAGGGCGCACGGACACACUGGAACUGAAACACGGUCCAGACUCCUACGGGAGGCAGCAGUGGGGAAUUUUGCGCAAUGGGGGAAACCCUGACGCAGCAACGCCGCGUGGAGGAUGAAAUAUCUUGGUAUGUAAACUCCUUUCGAUGGGGAAGAUUAUGACGGUACCCAUAGAAGAAGCCCCGGCUAACUUCGUGCCAGCAGCCGCGGUAAUACGAGGGGGGCAAGCGUUGUUCGGAUUUAUUGGGCGUAAAGGGUGCGUAGGCGGUUUGGCAAGUCUGAUGUGAAAUCUAUGGGCUCAACCCAUAGUCUGCAUCAGAAACUGCCGGGCUUGAGUAUGGGAGAGGUGAGUGGAAUUUCCGGUGUAGCGGUGAAAUGCGUAGAUAUCGGAAGGAACACCUGUGGCGAAAGCGGCUCACUGGACCAUAACUGACGCUGAUGCACGAAAGCUAGGGGAGCAAACAGGAUUAGAUACCCUAGUAGUCC
rnacentral:rRNA from 1 species